GCCAGUUUCCUGCCCAACCCAGGGGCCGCAUGUAUUCAGGAGGCGCCCGAACUGCUUUGGGCUGGGCCCCAUUCCUGCUGCUCUGGCGGGCUGGGGCCGGAAGAUGGUGGCCAAUGAGGAGGGGGAGUGGAGAGAACUUGAGCCAGGCCCUCCCCUCCCCCAUUUCCUCCUCUGUUUCUACACCCGCUUCUGGAAGGAGCUGGGGGAUGGCUCCUAGGCCCAAGGUGGGGGAGGGGUCCUGCUGGCUGUUGAAUUGCUGGUCUCCCCUCAGGAAUGAGUUAGGCACGUGAGCUCCAAGGGACUCGGUGUCUCAGCUGCGUAUCCCUUCGCUCCCUAAGGAAAGAUCUGGGAACUCCUUGAUGAAGAAUCUUCUUUGGCUACCGUGAAGCUUACUGGGUAGUCUUGUCUUUGUCCCUCUGCCCCAUGUUGGUCUGGUCCUGUUCCCAACUGGCUUGCCCAACUCCAGGAGCAGAGAGGCCUGGCGACUGACCCAAGCUGGGCCUUGGUUUCUGUCCAUUAGAACUGUGCAAACUGUGGGGCAGGGCCCAGUGUUUGCUGAUUACAAGAAUAAACUGC
rnacentral:lncRNA from 1 species